rnacentral:rRNA from 1 species
UACAGAGACUGCAAGCGUUAUUCGGAUUCACUGGGCGUAAAGCGUGCGCAGGCGGUUUUGUAAGCCAGAUGUGAAAUCCCCGGGCUUAACCUGGGAAUGGCAUUUGGGACUGCAAGGCUGGAGUUUGGCAGAGGAGACUGGAAUUCCCGGUGUAGCAGUGAAAUGCGUAGAUAUCGGGAGGAAUACCGAUGGCGAAGGCAGGUCUCUGGGCUAUAACUGACGCUCAUGCACGAAAGCGUGGGGAGCAAACAGG